rnacentral:rRNA from 1 species
GAGUUUGAUCGUGGCUCAGAUUGAACGCUGGCGGCAUGCCUUACACAUGCAAGUCGAACGGCAGCAUGAUCUAGCUUGCUAGAUUGAUGGCGAGUGGCGAACGGGUGAGUAAUACAUCGGAACGUGCCCUGUAGCGGGGGAUAACUAGUCGAAAGAUUAGCUAAUACCGCAUACGACCUGAGGGUGAAAGUGGGGGACCGCAAGGCCUCAUGCUAUAGGAGCGGCCGAUGUCUGAUUAGCUAGUUGGUGGGGUAAAGGCCCACCAAGGCGACGAUCAGUAGCUGGUCUGAGAGGACGAUCAGCCACACUGGGACUGAGACACGGCCCAGACUCCUACGGGAGGCAGCAGUGGGGAAUUUUGGACAAUGGGCGAAAGCCUGAUCCAGCAAUGCCGCGUGUGUGAAGAAGGCCU